rnacentral:rRNA from 1 species
GACGAACGCUGGCGGCGUGCUUAACACAUGCAAGUCGAACGGAAAGGCCCUGCUUUUGUGGGGUGCUCGAGUGGCGAACGGGUGAGUAACACGUGAGUAACCUGCCCUUGACUUUGGGAUAACUUCAGGAAACUGGGGCUAAUACCGGAUAGGAGCUCCUGCUGCAUGGUGGGGGUUGGAAAGUUUCGGCGGUUGGGGAUGGACUCGCGGCUUAUCAGCUUGUUGGUGGGGUAGCGGCUUACCAAGGCUUUGACGGGUAGCCGGCCUGAGAGGGUGACCGGCCACAAUGGGACUGAGAGACGGCGCAGACUCCUACGGGAGGCAGCAGUGGGGAAUAUUGCACAAUGGGCGGAAGCCUGAUGCAGCAACGCCGCGUGCGGGAUGACGGCCUUCGGGUUGUAAACCGCUUUCGCCUGUGACGAAGCGUGAGUGACGGUAAUGGGUAAAGAAGCACCGGCUAACUACGUG